rnacentral:rRNA from 1 species
CCCGCAAGGGGACAGCGAGACAGGUGCUGCAUGGCUGUCGUCAGCUCGUGUCGUGAGAUGUUCUCUUAAGUGAGGUAACGAGCGCAACCCCGUUCUGUGUUAUUGUGUCACAGAAGACUGCCUAGCAUUAUUUUGUUAGGAGGAAGGAGGGGACGACGUCAAGUCAUCAUGAUGCUUAUAUCCAGGGCUACACACAUCCUACAAUGGGCUAUAACAGAGGGUUGCAAGACCGCAAGGUGGAGCUAAUCCCUAAACUAGCCCUCAGUUGGGAUUGCAGGCUGAAACUCGCCUGCAUGAACCCGGAAUUGGUAGUAAUCGCACAUCAGCAGCGUGCGGUGAAUACGUUCUCGCCUCUU